CGUAGGGAGCGAGCGUUGUCCGGAAUGACUGGGUGUAAAGGGAGCGUAGGCGGGAUGGCAAGUCAGAUGUGAAACCUGAGGGCUCAACCUUCAGACUGCAUUUGAAACUGCUGUUCUUGAGUGAAGUAGAGGUAAGCGGAAUUCCUGGUGUAGCGGUGAAAUGCGUAGAGAUCAGGAGGAACAUCGGUGGCGAAGGCGGCUUACUGGGCUUUUACUGACGCUGAGGCUCGAAAGCGUGGGAGCAAACAGGAUU
rnacentral:rRNA from 1 species